rnacentral:rRNA from 1 species
UACGAAGGUCCCAAGCGUUAUCCGGAUUUAUUGGGUUUAAAGGGUGCGUAGGCGGUCUAUUAAGUCAGUGGUGAAAGCCCCAGCUCAACUUGGGAACUGCCAUUGAUACUGAUGGACUUGAGUACAUUUGAGGUGGGCGGAAUGUGUCAUGUAGCGGUGAAAUGCUUAGAUAUGACACAGAACACCGAUUGCGAAGGCAGCUCACUAAACUGUAACUGACGCUGAGGCACGAAAGCGUGGGGAGCAAACAGG